rnacentral:rRNA from 1 species
CCCUUAGAUGCUCUGGGCCGCACGCGCGCUACACUGGUCGAUGCAACGAGUUUCUUUCCUUGGCCGACAGGCCUGGGCAAUCUUUGAACAUCGAUCGUGAUCGGGAUAGAUUCUUGUAAUUUUUGAUCUUAAACGAGGAAUUCCUAGUAAACGCAAGUCAUCAGCUUGCAUUGAUUAUGUCCCUGCCCUUUGUACACACCGCCCGUCGCACCUACCGAUUGAAUGGUCCGGUGAAAUCUCCGGACUGGCGUGAGUCGGAGCAAUCUGACAAACGCCGGAAAGUUGAUUAAACCUUACCAUUUAGAGGAAGGUGAAGUCGUAACA